rnacentral:rRNA from 1 species
UACAGAGGUGGCAAGCGUUGUUCGGAAUUACUGGGCGUAAAGGGCGCGUAGGCGGUUCGUUAAGUCCUGUGUGAAAUCCCCCGGCUCAACUGGGGAACUGCACAGGAAACUAGCGGGCUUGAGUUCGGGAGAGGGAAGCGGAAUUCCAGGUGUAGCGGUGAAAUGCGUAGAUAUCUGGAGGAACACCGGUGGCGAAGGCGGCGUUCUGGACUGUUUCUGACACUGAAAAACGAAAGCCAGGGGAGCAAACGGG